rnacentral:rRNA from 1 species
GAUGAACGCUGGCGGCGUGCUUAACACAUGCAAGUCGAACGGAAAGGCCCAAGCUUGCUUGGGUACUCGAGUGGCGAACGGGUGAGUAACACGUGGGUGAUCUGCCCUGCACUUCGGGAUAAGCCUGGGAAACUGGGUCUAAUACCGGAUAGGACGAUGGUUUGGAUGCCAUUGUGGAAAGUUUUUUCGGUGUGGGAUGAGCUCGCGGCCUAUCAGCUUGUUGGUGGGGUAAUGGCCUACCGAGGCGUCGACGGGUAGCCGGCCUGAGAGGGUGUACGGCCACAUUGGGACUGAGAUACGGCCCAGACUCCUACGGGAGGCAGCAGUGGGGAAUAUUGCACAAUGGGCGCAAGCCUGAUGCAGCGACGCCGCGUGGGGGAUGACGGCCUUCGGGUUGUAAACUCCUUUCGCUAGGGACGAAGCGUUUUUGUGACGGUACCUGGAGAAGAAGCACCGGCUAACUACGUG